AGUGAACGCUGGCGGUAGGCCUAACACAUGCAAGUCGAACGGCAGCACAGGAGAGCUUGCUCUCUGGGUGGCGAGUGGCGGACGGGUGAGGAAUACAUCGGAAUCUACUCUGUCGUGGGGGAUAACGUAGGGAAACUUACGCUAAUACCGCAUACGACCUACGGGUGAAAGCAGGGGACCUUCGGGCCUUGCGCGAUUGAAUGAGCCGAGGUCGGAUUAGCUAGUUGGCGGGGUAAAGGCCCACCAAGGCGACGAUCCGUAGCUGGUCUGAGAGGAUGAUCAGCCACACUGGAACUGAGACACGGUCCAGACUCCUACGGGAGGCAGCAGUGGGGAAUAUUGGACAAUGGGCGCAAGCCUGGUCCAGCCAUACCGCGCGGGUGAAGAAGGCCUUCGGGUUGUAAAGCCCUUUUGUUGGGAAAGAAAUCCAGCUGGCUAAUACCCGGUUGGGAUGACGGUACCCAAAGAAUAAGCACCGGCUAACUUCGUGCCAGCCGCCGCAGUAA
rnacentral:rRNA from 1 species